UUGGCAAAAUAAUCGAAAGAUUACGACGCAAAGCUUUAGGACCUAACCUCAUUUAAGAGCAUGGUAGCCAGUUGCA
rnacentral:ncRNA from 1 species